AAUAAGGAUAUGUUGACCGUGCUAAAAGAGAUGAUGAUUUCUUUUUAGUGAGGUAAAGUCCGGGCUCCUCCGGAAAAGAUGCCGGGCAAUAACCGGGCGGAAAAGAAAAACUGCUGGUUUUCAGUAAAGUUUCUUUUCCGACAGAAAGUGCUACAGAAAAUUACCGCCUGUAAUGGGUAAGGGUGAAAAGGCAGGGUAAGAGCCUACCGCGUUUUUGGCAACAGAAACGGCAUAAGUAAACCUCAUCUGGAGCAAAAUCAUAUAGCAGUUUGGUUUUCCGGCCUUAUGCUGCGGGUAGAUUGCUGGAAGUGCUAGGCAACUGGCAUUGCAGAUAGAUGGUCAACACGUUUUUAAUAAAACGUUCCAGAACCCGGCUUAUCAUAUCCUUUUUAUUU
rnacentral:RNase_P_RNA from 1 species